rnacentral:rRNA from 1 species
UACGUAGGGUGCAAGCGUUAUCCGGAAUUAUUGGGCGUAAAGAGCUCGUAGGCGGUUUGUCGCGUCGGCCGUGAAAUCUCCACGCUUAACGUGGAGCGUGCGGUCGAUACGGGCAGACUUGAGUUCGGUAGGGGAGACUGGAAUUCCUGGUGUAGCGGUGAAAUGCGCAGAUAUCAGGAGGAACACCGGUGGCGAAGGCGGGUCUCUGGGCCGUAACUGACGCUGAGGAGCGAAAGCAUGGGGAGCGAACAGG